UUUUUUUUUUAAUAAGCAUAAAUAAGUCAUAAAUAUCUCAAUUGCUGAGAUAAAGAUUGUAUCCUCUCAUCUCUUCAGUUUCUUUCCUAUGAAAAAGACAUUGCAGGAGUUUUUAGCUAGUUAUUUGCCAAAUCUGUUAAUGAAAAUGCCUUCCCAAAUAUACCAAUGCAUUUCAGUGAAAGGGGCCUGUGAUAGUUUCUGUUUAUUACAGAAGAAUGAACUCAUGGUUUUGCAAGUCUUCUGCUAUUGUCUUUAACCUUUACUUUCAGCUGGUUUGAGUUUAAGAAUAGUGAGUCGUGGGUCUUCUGUGCACACGGGGAAAAACAAGCACUGUGACAUUACUCGGUGUGUUCAUGUUCAGCAGAGUUGGAAAACCAACACAGAGGAUGAAGAGGAACUGUAUUUAAUGCUACUUAAAUUAGUCUGAUUUGGAUUCUUGUUAACAAAAUAUGAGGAAAGGGUUUAGAAGGAUGUAAGUUCAGUCUAUAGGUGUUUGAAGGGUGUUCACAGGAUUUGGCCUGAGGCAUGGGGAGCACACAGAGGACUGGAGUACAGCAUGCUGAGGAAACACUGUUCCAUAGGAAGAGCGAAGCCUGUGUGAAAUGUGCCUUCAGCUGGACAUGGAAACUGCUGAGCUGUUUCUGAGCCAAUACAGAAUACUAAGAAGAGGUGCAAGUUUGGGCUACUGGGAGGUUCCAGUAUCUGCUAGGAAUUAUGGCCCUGAACCAGGCCUUUAUGAUUGGAUGUGAUGUUAGCUAUGGAACACACAGCCUCCUGCUGCAAGUCUUAUUCAACAGUUCAGAUGGGAUUCGUGUUGUGUAACUUGAGCCACAGAUUAUUUGAAGUGGUUUGAUACAAUUUUCAAAGGCGCAUCAAGCACAGCCAAAAGACAAUGCAAGAACUGGCAUUUGCUGACUGACUCCGUUUUCUUCUCCAUCUGGUAAAGACAAGGGGAAGACAGAGACUUAAGUCCCAAAAUGGAAAAGGAGAAUUGCUCAAGCUGAAGAAAUAUUAAGAAGAAACCCAUCAGUUUAGUCAAUGCACAAAAUGCAAUGUGAAAUGAAGCUAUUAAUGCUGUAAUGAAGAACCUGUUCCAGAAUAAUCCUUAUUUCCAUUUUUUAUGGUACAGUUAUGCCUAUUUCUCUGAAGCUUUUCCCCCUGUCUGAAGAGGAUUCACUGGCUGGCAGCCAUAUGGAGUCGCAGGUACUGAAACAGGAGUUCUGCAGUCCUUCAUGGGGACUUUCUGCUACAGACCAACCCUAUGAAAUGCCCCAACAGCUCCUGCUCUGCUUGGUGAAGUUCAACUGCAACUGUAUUUAUUGGGCUGAGGUGCUGCAGUCGCCCAGCACAGUGGGAUUGUACUGCUCAUAUUUAUCUGGAAUUGUUCUCUAAGAGCAGGAGGAGGCUAAGCCAUUUGGAAUGACUGCAUUGUAUUUAGAUUAACAGAGAUGUAUCACAGUGUUUCCUGGUAUUAUGAAGGAGUGUACCUGUGUGUACAUGCUUAAUAUUCCAGAAGAAUAACAAGACACUGCUAGUAAUCUUGUGGUUUAUUAACAGUUUUGGAUAAGAGCAAGGUAAAAGAAAGUGUGGCUUUUGCACAAGGCAGAAAGGUGGUUCAUAGAUGCAUAUCCCUGCCUUGUAUUUUCAUUGCCUCACAUUUCUAAAUUCUAUUUUUCAGUGGGCUCUGGGGAGCCAGGGAAAAAAGGAAGUUUGUGAAAGACAGGGAUUUGAAGCCAUUUCCAGUAUAGAAAAGUCUGUCAAAAUAGAAAUCUGCCUACAAUGAAAGACUCAUUUCUAGCAGAGUAGAUCAAUUACUCU